UUAGGAAUAUUGGACAAUGGGCGCAAGCCUGAUCCAGCCAUGCCGCGUGAGUGAUGAAGGCCUUCGGGUUGUAAAACUCUUUAGCCGAUGAAUAUAAUGACUGUAGUCGGAAAAUAAGCCCCGGCUAACUUCGUGCCAGCAGCCGCGGUAAUACGAAGGGGGCGAGCGUUAUUCGGAAUCACUGGGCGUAAAGCGUGCGUAGGCUGCUUGGAAAGUUGGAAGUGAAAGCCCAGGGCUCAACCCUGGAAUUGCUUUCAAAACUACCAGGCUCGGAUUCGGGAGAGGAUAGCGGAAUUGUCAGUGUAGCAGUGAAAUGCGUAGAUAUUGACAGGAACACCAGUGGCGCAAGCGGCUAUCUGGACCGACAUCGACGCUGAGGCACGAAAGCGUGGGGAUCAAA
rnacentral:rRNA from 1 species